GAUGAACGCUAGCGGCAGGCUUAACACAUGCAAGUCGAACGGUAACAUGAUCAGCUUGCUGAUUGAUGACGAGUGGCGCACGGGUGCGUAACGCGUAUGCAACUUGCCCUGUACAUAGGGAUAGCCCAGAGAAAUUUGGAUUAAUACCUUAUAGUAUAUUAAGAUCGCAUGGUCUAAAUAUUAAAGCUUUAUUGUGGUACAGGAUGGGCAUGCGUGACAUUAGAUAGUUGGUGAGGUAACGGCCCACCAAGUCAACGAUGUCUAGGGGUUCUGAGAGGAUGAUCCCCCACACUGGUACUGAGACACGGACCAGACUCCUACGGGAGGCAGCAGUGAGGAAUAUUGGGCAAUGGAGGCAACUCUGACCCCAGCCAUGCCGCGUGCAGGAAAGAAUGUUUUAUGAAAUUUGUAAAACUGCUUUUUUAAAUGGGGAAAGAAAAUGGUUCUACGUGUAGGACUUUUGCCGGUACCAUAUGAAUAA
rnacentral:rRNA from 1 species